AACGCACGAGACCUGCGGACCUGCGGAGGGAUCAUUACUGAGUGAGGGCCCUCUGGGUCCAACCUCCCACCCGUGUUUAUUGUACCUUGUUGCUUCGGCAGGCCCGCCUCACGGCCGCCGGGGGGCUUUCCGCCCCCGGGCCCGCGCCUGCCGGAGACAAUCUUGAACGCUGUCUGAAGAAUGCAGUCUGAGCGAUUAAGCAAAAUUAGUUAAAACUUUCAGCAACGGAUCUCUAGAUCG
rnacentral:misc_RNA from 1 species